UGGCUGAAUUGAUAACUAAAUGGGAGUAACCCUAGAGCAAAUCAGAAUUGCAGACAAUCAGCCUCUGGAGAAAGCUGAGGAAUGACUGCCCAAGCUCCAGAAACACAUGGGCAAUUUCCCUGUAAUAGUUUCUGUGUACUACUGCCAUGCCAGUUGCAGUCAACAAGUAUUGCUAUCUCUCUGUAAAAGUUAGAGAAGCUCUGUAUUCAGGGCAUUGUUUAACAGGUGUGUGUUGGAAGGGGGGGGGUCUUGUUGGACAUUGGGUAUAAGUUU